ensembl:lincRNA
AUGUUGCUGACAUACCCUGAUCCCUGGCAUCUCCUCAGAAACAUUUGGUCCUCAGCCACAGAGUCCUCAAAUUCAGGAGACAGAAGAACUCAGCACCUAAACUCCUUGGCCUUCCCAACAAGUAACCAGGAAAUAAAACUGCUCCCAAGAGUCUUCAUCAUGAUGACAGUCAGAGUGACUGGAGAACACAUGGAUAGAGGUCCAAUGAGCAGCUUCAGCAUCACCUGGGGAUUUGUUUGGAAGAGACUUCCCUUAUAAGACUGAAGAAACAUUCGGGGAGGUGGAGGCGGAAGGCGGUGCAGGUGGAGAUGCUGGCAGAAGUCCUUCUCUGAAUGCUAACACAGCUCACUGAAGAAUCCAAAGCACAUUUGCUGGUUGCUUUGUGGCUCCAGGAGGGAAUUCAGUUUUAUUACGUUAGAUAUCCAUUUGGCAUCACUCAUAUGUCAGGCUCUGGAUUACAGGGGGCAUGGAUACCAAGACAGUUGAGGCACAGCAGCAGUCUUCAAAUAGCUGAUUGAGAGGAUCAGACAAAAGCCCAAGUUGGGUGGGACAUGCGCCAAGGAAAGAUGUAAAUAUAAUGGUGGGUGUGGAGAAAAGGGCACUUGCCGGGAGCCAGCGUGAGAAACUCCACCCAUGGCAAAGGUCAUAAGGAAGGAGGCUUCAGCAUACGCAAAGGGGGGGUCGAGCCUCAGGAAACCCCCUGUUCCCGAACAUCUACCCCCCAAACCAGCAUCUGUUUUAUGCUCUCAUCUACACCUCUGACUUUACGGGGGGCUCUCCCCCAUCACCAUUUCUCUCGGAGGAGGAGUUAACUUGUAGCUCCAGUUAAUAAAAAUUCCUGGGCGUGACAAGAGUGUUUCAACUUACAAACUCCUCUGAAGGUUCUCUAGCCUGCCUGAGCAGGUUCGUCGGACAACAUGUGAUUGUUUAUAGCCUUCCAACUGUGAGAGACACGAGAUGCUUUAAACUCUCUAUAUACAGACUCUUUUGAGAAGUUACAAAAUUAUUAGUAUAGUAUUAGUGGGUUGAUUAGAAAUUAUAUUGGUGAAGGGUUUUUCAUUUGUUGAGCCAAUAUUUGCUGCUAAAUCUCCAUAUUCCCUGCCCUUAUAAAAUUCCUUUCUUAGUUGUAACCCACUACACCCUCACCCUAUAGGAAUACAACUUUAUUUGGAGGGUGGCACUUGGUUUUAGAAAAAAUCACCCCUGGAAAAAAUAAGUUUCCUGGUUGACUGACAGUCAUCAGAAAGGGCCAUAAAAUGUCAGCAGGCCUCAUGGCCAGAAGAUGAUGUAAAACCCCUAAAACCUUUGUAUACUUUUAUAUGAAGCACCUGAUUUUGACAAGGGUCAGGUCUGCUGACCCCCAUGUGACUCUGUAUUCAUCCCUAUGUAUAACAAAAAGUAUAUAAGCAAACCUGAAAAAUAAAGAAAUUGGAUCAGUUUCUGGAAAGACUGAUUCCCAGGUGUCGUUCUUUCUUUCCCCUUCUGGCUGAAUUCCCAUCUGGAGCAUGGGUACUCACCACAUCUACUUACUUGCCCUGGCUUCUAAGAUCCAUGAGGGAGGGAGCCCAAGGCAGGGCACCCUCCGAUAUUCAAA